rnacentral:rRNA from 1 species
UGUAACGUGGUUACAGGCCUAACACAUGCAAGUCGAGGGCUAGUUUGAACUUAGCUUGCUAAGUUUGAUGGCGACCGGCGCACGGGUGAGUAACGCGUAUCCAACCUUCCCCCCUACUAGGGCAUAGCCCGGCGAAAGUCGGAUUAAUACCCUAUGUUCUUCGUAGAGGCCAUCUGAAAUGAAGCAAAGGUUUACCGCUAGGGGAUGGGGAUGCGUACGAUUAGCUGGUUGGCGGGGUAACGGCCCACCAAGGCGACGAUCGUUAGGUGUGUUCUGAGAGGAAGGUCCCCCACACUGGUACUGAGACACGGACCAGACUCCUACGGGAGGCAGCAGUGAGGAAUAUUGGUCAAUGUUUCGCCGAGCAUCAAGUAUCCCAGCCAAGUAGCGUGCAGGAUGACGGCCCUAUGGGUUGUAAACUGCUUCUUAUGCGGGUAUUAAGUGAGCCA